rnacentral:rRNA from 1 species
AUGAACGCUGGCGGCAUGCCUAAGACAUGCAAGUCGAACGAAGGGACCUAAUGAAGAUUGCGUGCUUGCACAAAAUCAGAUUUAGAUCAUCCCUUAGUGGCAAACGGGUGAGUAACACGUGGGUCACCUACCUUUAAGUUGGGGAUAACAGUUGGAAACGAUUGCUAAUACCGAAUAUGAUCUAUGGAUUAAAGAAGCCUUUAAAGCUUCGCUUAGAGAUGGGCCUGCGGCGUAUUAGCUUGUUGGUGGGGUAACGGCCUACCAAGGCGACGAUACGUAGCCGAACUGAGAGGUUAAUCGGCCACACUGGGACUGAGACACGGCCCAGACUCCUACGGGAGACAGCAGUUAGGAAUAUUCGUCAAUGGGGGAAACCCUGAACGAGCAAUGCCGCGUGAGUGAAGACGGUCCUCUGGAUUGUAAAACUCUGUUGUUUGGAAAGAAUUGUUAAAAUAGGAAAUGAUUUUAAUUUGACGGUACCAUUCAAGAAAGCCACGGCUAACUACGUGCCAGCAGCCGCGGUAAUACGUAGGUGGCGAGCGUUAUCCGGAUUUAUUGGGCGUAAAGCGUCCGCAGCCGGCUUAUUAAGUCUAGAAUAAAAGCCUGGAGCUUAACUCCAGUUCGUUCUAGAAACUGGUAGGCUUGAGUGUGGUAGAGGCAAGUGGAAUUUCUAGUGUAGCGGUAGAAUGCGUAGAUAUUAGAAGGAACACCAGUGGCGAAGGCGACUUGCUGGGCCAUUACUGACGGUCAGGGACGAAAGCGUGGGGAGCAAAUAGGAUUAGAUACCCUAGUAGUCCACGCCGUAAACGAUGUCUACUUGGAGGUUGUGCCCUUGAGGCGUGGCUUCCGGAGCUAACGCGUUAAGUAGACCGCCUGGGGAGUACGGCCGCAAGGUUAAAACUCAAAUGAAUUGACGGGGGCCCGCACAAGCGGUGGAGCAUGUGGUUUAAUUCGAAGCAACGCGAAGAACCUUACCAGGUCUUGACAUCCAGGUAAAGCGGCAGAGAUGCCGUGUGUGCUUGCACAAUCUGAGACAGGUGGUGCAUGGUUGUCGUCAGCUCGUGUCGUGAGAUGUUGGGUUAAGUCCCGCAACGAGCGCAACCCUCGUCUUUAGUUGCUAACAUUUAGUUGAGAACUCUAAAGAUACUGCCAGUGCAAGCUGGAGGAAGGUGGGGAUGACGUCAAAUCAUCAUGCCCCUUACGUCUAGGGCUACAGGCGUGCUACAAUGGCCGAUACAACGAGUUGCAACAUGGUGACAUGAAGCUAAUCUCUUAAAGUCGGUCCCAGUCCGGAUUGGAGUCUGCAACUCGACUCCAUGAAGUUGGAAUCGCUAGUAAUCCCGAAUCAGAAUGUCGGGGUGAAUACGUUCCCGGGUGUUGUACACACCGCCCGUCACGCCAUGGGAGUCUGUAAUGCCUGAAGUCGGUAGCCUAACCUUUUAGGAGGGGGCCGGUGAGGGUAGGACAGGUGACUGGGGUG